UACGUAGGUGGCAAGCGUUGUCCGGAUUUACUGGGCGUAAAGAGCGCGCAGGCGGUCGUUCAAGUCGCGUGUGAAAGCCCCCGGCUCAACUGGGGAGGGUCACGCGAUACUGAUCGACUCGAAGGCAGGAGAGGGUAGUGGAAUUCCCGGUGUAGAGGUGAAAUUCGUAGAUAUCGGGAGGAACACCAGUGGCGAAGGCGGCUGCCUGGGCCUGGCCUGACGCUGAGGCGCGAAAGCGUGGGGAGCAAUCCGG
rnacentral:rRNA from 1 species